rnacentral:sRNA from 1 species
GGGAAGCUCGUGGCCGGGACCCUGAGGCGGGAGCGCGGGCUGGGCCGGGCUGGGCUACGCGCACGGGCUCGGCCGCCGCCCCUGCCGAAAACAGCCUUCCAUAGAAGCCAGACGCUGGGCUACAGGAAUGGCUAUGCAAUUGUUCGACGUCCAACAGUUGGGAUAGGCGGAGACCGGCUCCAGUUCAACCAGCUGUCCCAGGCUGAGCUGGAUGAGUUGGCCAGUAAGGCACCAGUCUUAACUUAUGGCCAACCUAAACAAGCCCCACCUGCGGAUUUUAUUCCUGCGCAUGUGGCCUUUGACAAAAAGCUAUUGUAAAAGGGGUUGAGGUCUUGAUUUGAUUCUCAGCUUGGUCGCUGUUGGUGUAAAGAAGAGCUACUGAUAUGUGUAUAUUAAUUUUGUAUCCAGAAACUUUGCUGAAUUCUUUUAUCAGUUCUAGGAGCUUUCUGGAGGAGUCUUUAGGAUUUUCCAGGUACUGAAAUUUGAUGCCUAUUUC